UUGUGGAAUCGAAGGGUGGCCGGUUUGAUCCCUGACUGGUAGGAAAAAUGUGGGUGGGGGGAGUGACUGAACAGCGUUCUCCCACAUCCACGGAUGAGGUUCCCUUGAGCAAUGCAUCUAACCCCCAACUGCACCUCGGGCGCCGGAUUAACUGCAACGGGCAUCCUGACCUCAGCAAGAGACUGACAGCAACCCUGGACCUCAGUCGGCAGAUGAAGUACCACAGCCAAACUGCAGCUACCACCCGCAUCGAAGGAGAGAUGAAGAGGAGAGCCAUCUGCAGCACCACCGAAGCAGCAGAGACAGCCUCAAGAUGCCUAUAGCCAUUUGGACACCAGUGGAGUCAGCUGGACAAGGGUGUUGAUGUUGGAAGACCCAAAAUAAAAACAUCCCAGAGAAAUAUGUAUAAUGAGACACUUACUCCAGCGCACGGACUGCUCCUUGUUUCCAAGCCCAGCUCCUCGUUUCUGGAAUUUCCUGCUACGUCCCAGGUUGUAGAACUUUUAUGUUGGACAUUUUCUAUUGGACCUUUUCUGUUGGAUGAUAUCCUCUUGCCAGAUUGGAGCCUUUAUGUAGGACUGCCUUGUUUGUCAAGUCAAGAUCUUCUGAGCGUUAACUUCACUUCAAGACCUUGUUUAAAUUCUCCUGCCUUGGUUGCUGUUUUCAAAUUAAAACGACUUGAUCCUAACCUUGAGCCUAACCUUGUUUCCUGAGUCUGUGUGCCCUGACAGAAGGCCAGACCAGGCAAUGGAGCCUCAACCAUUAAGAGCUGAACAUGUGGAUCCCUUCCAGGGAAUGGUGGACAAUGCACCGCAAACAAUUCCCAACUCUGCGACCGUAGCAGCUGCCGCCGCCACAGCAGCUCCAGUAGCACCUCCAGCUAUGAUUCCAGGGAACGCAGUGGUGAAUCCAGCGCCAUAUUCUGGAACUCCAGAGGCAUGCAAGGGAUUUCUGUUGCAAUGCUCAUUGGCCUGGGAGAUGCAGCCACACAGAUUCCCUACAGACCGAUCGCGAGUAGCCUAUAUCAUCUCUCUGCUCUCGGGGUGUGCCUUGCAAUGGGCUGAAAGCGUCUGGAGACAAAAUGGCCCCACAGUAGCAUCGGUGGACAACUU